GACGUAGGGCGCGAGCGUUGUCCGGAUUUAUUGGGCGUAAAGAGCUCGUAGGCGGCUUGUCGCGUCGACUGUGAAAACCCGAGGCUCAACUUCGGGCUUGCAGUCGAUACGGGCAGGCUCAGAUGUCGGUAGGGGAGACUGGAAUUCCUGGUGUAGCGGUGGAAUGCGCAGAUAUCAGGAGGAACACCGAUGGCGAAGGCAGGUCUCUGGGCCGCAACUGACGCUGAGGAGCGAAAGCAUGGGGAGCGAACAGG
rnacentral:rRNA from 1 species